ACAGUAUGUGUACCUGCAGCUGUGCACAACCUGUGAGACCUGAUGGCUGCCAGCUCCCCUGCCCAGGUAGGAACCCAGGUUCUCAUUCUGGAGGGCAGCUGUGACAUCUUUCUGGGGAAAAGUCUCCAGCACCAGAAUAAAGGAACAAAAAUCUAGGUUUACAUUACAAAAGGGACAGUGAGGAUUUCCCUGUUUGCUCUCCAGAGCUUUUUAAGCCUGAUAUUUUGAAUCAAUGAGUUCAACAGAAACAGGAUAGCCAUGGAUCACAAAUGAGAAACCAGAUACAUAUGGAAUUGAUGAGAUUAUUAAUAUCACUUUCUUGUACAUUUCAAAGAAAAUCUGUUGUGUCCUGCAUAGAAGUGUCUGUUUUGAUGGGAACAGUUACCACCUAUCCCACAGCUUCUUUACAUGGUUUCAGCAGGAAAAAAAAUACAGUUUCUAUCUACAAUAGUCAAUUAGAAAUCACAUUUAACAAGGAACAAAGGGCCCUAGGUCAAGCUGUGAAUGCCCAGACACAACCCAGCCUUCUAGCAGGAUGUGCUUUCACACGUGCACUUGGCAGCAGCCAGUGGAAGCAGUCCCAUGACUCCCACCCCUCUCUCCCAGGCCUGUGUUGUCCUUGACCAUACUUAGAAGGAUUAUUUCUGUGACUGUGCAAUGAGCUGGCUUAGUGGACAGGUCUUAGUUAAAGAUCA